GUAUCAACCUAUGAAGUGUUUGUUUUAAACAUUUAACGACUGUGUCAACCUUUUAUAAGUUGUAAUAAACAUUUAAUGACUGUGCCAACCUUUAGAAAGUUGUAACAAACAUUUAACGACUGUCCCAACUCUAAAAACGUUGUGACAAACAUUUUUUGACUGCAUCAACGUCUGAAAAGUUGACACAAACAAAUUUUAACUGUCCCAACUAUUAAAAGGUUGGGACGGACAUUAUGCAACUGCCACAACUAUUAGAAAGACUGUAAUAAAUAGAUUUUGACUGUGACAACACCGUAAACCACUGCAACAGUUCUGAAAUGACUGAUGGUAGCAUUUUUUGACUUUCACAACCCGUAGAAAAGUUGGGACAGACAUAAAUGAACUGUUGCAACGAAAUAUGACAGAUUUGACAGUCAUUACUUGUCUUUUACAGACUAAGACAGUCGUACAACGACUGUUACUGGUAUGGACAGUUGUUUUUU
rnacentral:lncRNA from 1 species